UACGUAGGGUGCGAGCGUUAAUCGGAAUUACUGGGCGUAAAGCGUGCGCAGGCGGUUUUGUAAGCCAGAUGUGAAAUCCCCGGGCUCAACCUGGGAAUGGCAUUUGGGACUGCAAGGCUGGAGUACGGCAGAGGAGACUGGAAUUCCUGGUGUAGCAGUGAAAUGCGUAGAUAUCAGGAGGAAUACCGAUGGCGAAGGCAGGUCUCUGGGCUGAUACUGACGCUCACGCACGAAAGCGUGGGGAGCAAACAGG
rnacentral:rRNA from 1 species